GCCCUUAUAGCUCAGUGGUAGAGCGUGUCACUCGUACCGUUUCACAGCGUCAUGACAAGGUCCGCCGUUCGAUCCGGCGUGGGGGCA